rnacentral:rRNA from 1 species
AGUGAACGCUGGCGGUAGGCCUAACACAUGCAAGUCGAACGGCAGCACAGUAAGAGCUUGCUCUUACGGGUGGCGAGUGGCGGACGGGUGAGGAAUACAUCGGAAUCUACUUUUUCGUGGGGGAUAACGUAGGGAAACUUACGCUAAUACCGCAUACGACCUACGGGUGAAAGCAGUGGAUCUUCGGACCUUUCGCGAUUGAAUGAGCCGAUGUCGGAUUAGCUAGUUGGCGGGGUAAAGGCCCACCAAGGCGACGAUCCGUAGCUGGUCUGAGAGGAUGAUCAGCCAAACUGGAACUGAGACAAGGUCCAGACUCCCACGGGAGGCAGCAGUGGGGAAUAUUGGACAAUGGGCGCAAGCCUGAUCCAGCCAUACCGCGUGGGUGAAGAAGGCCUUCGGGUUGUAAAGCCCUUUUGUUGGGAAAGAAAAGCAGCAGGUUAAUACCCCGCUGUUCUGACGGUACCCAAAGAAUAAGCACCGGCUAACUUCGUG